AAAAAUCCAGAGAUACAGUAUAUUAAUCAGCUGUACAGGAGAAAAGAUACAUUGAAGGCCAUUUCGAUAUCGUGAAAGAUUAAACAGAUCCCUAUAAAACCUCAUUGGCGAAAGGAAACGGAGUAAUAGAGUACAUAUUUUGAUGUUUAUAAAUUGGAGAAUACAUUAAAAACUGAUGAUAAUUAAUCAUAGGAAAAAGUGGCUUUUCUAAGUUAUUUGAAACUUGGACAAAAGUCGCUCAUAGGGGUUGAAAAAAGUGACUUCUCCAGGUUACAAGAUCCAAGUGGCAACCCAGUGUAUCAGCAAGGCGUAACAAGUGUCUGUGUGACGUCACGCGGCUUUCUGGAGGCGGAGCCUGUGAUCGCGGGAGCAGGUGGGGGUGGGACUCUCCCGCAUCGUGGAUCGUUUGCCCCACCCUCGGGAUUUUGUUCCUUCGUACCACCGCCACCUUCAACCUCCUCCUUUUCUCCCCCGUCGUCUCUUUUACUCUCUUUUGAACUUUGUUCGGUGACCCCCCACCUGUCUCUACUCUACCAAGUUGCAAGAACGCCGAACUGCCACAAAAUACUCGAGUAAGCUGUAAUCAAAUAACCGUUGACCCUUUGAAGUUAACCGGUGAAGUCAAACGAUCCAGCCCGACGACGCACCGAUAUUACUUGAUACGUAACUUCGUCGAAGUUGGAAAGAAUUUUCCCGGAAUACAUACGCGAAAAGAUGGUGUAAGGCGCUUUAAAGGUCUCCGGUCGGCGUGUUCCCGCAACGCUACCGUUUAUUGCACUGUGGUCUGCUAAAGUGCAAUCGAGGAAGCAAAAUGCGGUUUCACUCGUUCGUGCGGGGCUCGCAAGAAUGUAAUUAACCCCUCGGAAGUGGCACGGUGCUUCGACCCGUAGCCGAUUUUACCUGCGUUUUCUUAUCUCUCUGUCUUUAAAAGUGAGAAGCGCGGACAAGGGACACCUCGCCGAUCGGUUUUGUCGGUUCACACCGAUCUACCGCAAAAAUCGGGUCUGCGUGUCGUGAAACCGCAAUUACUUACGCGAAAGACGCCGGCCAGAUCUAUCACAGUUGUCACGUGUGUUUAUGGUUGUUCGACUAUGAUGUAAUCCCAUUGUUUUUUACUUGAUUUUUCUAAUCUGUAAGUUGAGAUUUUUUCUUUUAAUUGGGUAGUUUGCUUCUUUUAAUAAGAAAAUGUAUAAAUAAUGUGGUAAUUCAAUUCGUGGUUAGGAAUGCUUAAUAGAUGGAAUAGUUAGACAUUGUUAUUUGUCUUGUGAAUUAAUGACCAAUUAAGAU